UUCAAUAUGCCUUAGUGGUUUGAGCGUUGGACUAUGACUCUGGAGACCAAGGUUCGAUUCCCUGUUCGGCCA